AUAAGAGAGAAACACACUCUGAAAAGAUAAAGCAACCAUCAGAACCAGACUCAGGACACAGACUGAUGGAACCAGGAAACAGGGAGAGUAAAAAACAACAACAACAAUCCUGUCAGAUGAUCUCUCGAUGACUCCAAAAACAGGAAUUUGGGUUAUAUGAGAAUAAUUAUGGCUUCUCCAAUCAACACAUUUUUGUGUAUUCUCCUGAAAUGGCCUUCAUGAUAUCCCCCCAAGAACAAUCUGC